AGCAGCCGCGGUAAUACGGAGGUGGCAAGCGUUACUCGGAAUCAUUGGGUGUAAGGGGCAAGUAGGCGGUCUAAUAAGUGAGGGGUGAAAUCCUGCGACUCAAUCGCAGAACUGCCUUUCAAACUGCUAGACUUGAGGUAAGAAGAGGAAAAUGGAAUUCUCGGUGUAAGGGUGAAAUCUGUAGAUAUCGAGAAGAACACCAACGGCGAAGGCAAUUUUCUACUCUUAUCCUGACGCUAAAUUGCGAAAGCUAGGGGAGCAAACAGAAUUAGAUACUCUGGUAGUCCUAGCCGUAAACGAUGAGCACUAGGUGUUGGUUCCUUUGGGACCAGUGCCGCAGCCAACGCAUUAAGUGCUCCACCUGGGGACUACGGUCGCAAGGCUAAAACUCAAAGAAAUUGACGGGGGCCCGCACAAGCGGUGGAGUAUGUGGCUUAAUUCGAUGCAACGCGAAGAACCUUACCAGGGUUUGACAUGCACUGUGUCGGCGAUGAAAGUCGCCUAGCUGUAGCAAUACAGCGCUUUGCACAGGUGCUGCAUGGCUGUCGUCAGCUCGUGUCGUGAGAUGUUGGGUUAAGUCCCGCAACGAGCGCAACCCCUGUGUCCUGUUGCCACCCCUUAAUUGGGAGCACUCUGGACAGACUGCCCUGUGAAACGGGGAGGAAGGUGGGGAUGACGUCAAGUCAGCAUGGCCCUUACACCCUGGGCUGCACACGUACUACAAUGCUCAGUACAAUACGAGCCGAAGCCGCGAGGCGAAGGAAAUCUCGAAAACUGAGCCCAAUUCGGAUCGCAGGCUGCAACUCGCCUGCGUGAAGCCGGAAUCGCUAGUAAUGGCGCAUCAGCUACGGCGCCGUGAAUACGUUCCCGGGCCUUGUACACACCGCCCGUCACAUCAUGGGAGUCACUUGCACCCGAAGUACACAUUCGUGUGUCCUACGGUAUGAGUGGUAACUGGGAUGAAGUCGUAACAAGGUAGCCGU
rnacentral:rRNA from 1 species